AACACAGGCUACUUCAUCGCGAGAACCUAGCUUUUAGCUACUUCUUGAGGAAAGUCCGAACAACGUACUGCAUCGCGCCAGCUAACGGCUGGGCAAAGAGCUUUGCUCUUUGACGGAAAGUGUCGCAGAAAAUAACCGCCCAUUUUGGGUAAGGGUGAAAACCUGCAGGUAAGAGCGCAGGCAGGCUACUGGCAACAGCAGCCUGGGAUAAACCCCGCGAGUUGAAAUGCCAUGUAUACCAGCGCUUGAGGGUUGCAGGCCCAAUGCUGGAGGGUAGGCAGAUAGAGCGUUUAUGUGAGUAAACGCCCAGAUAAAUGAUGAAGCCUUGAGGCUUAGGCCAAAAGCGACAGAAUUCGGCUUAUCGGCCUGUGUUUUUU
rnacentral:RNase_P_RNA from 1 species